rnacentral:rRNA from 1 species
UGGGGAAUCUUCCGCAAUGGACGAAAGUCUGACGGAGCAACGCCGCGUGUAUGAUGAAGGUCUUCGGAUUGUAAAGUACUGUCAUUGGGGAAGAACGGUUUUCUUGAGAAUAUUGAGAAGACAUGACGGUACCCAAGGAGGAAGCCCCGGCUAACUACGUGCCAGCAGCCGCGGUAAUACGUAGGGGGCAAGCGUUGUCCGGAAUUAUUGGGCGUAAAGGGCGCGUAGGCGGGCCUUUAAGUCCGGUGUGAAAGAUCAGGGCUCAACCCUGAGAGUGCAUCGGAAACUGGAGGCCUUGAGGACAGGAGAGGAAAGUGGAAUUCCACGUGUAGCGGUGAAAUGCGUAGAUAUGUGGAGGAACACCAGUGGCGAAGGCGACUUUCUGGACUGUAACUGACGCUGAGGCGCGAAAGCGUGGGGAGCAAACAGGAUUAGAUACCCUGGUAGUCCACGCCGUAAACGAUGAGUGCUAGGUGUAGAGGGUAUCGACCCCUUCUGUGCCGCAGUUAACACAAUAAGCACUCCCGCCUGGGGAGUACGGCCGCAAGGUUGAAACUUAAAGGAAUUGACGGGGUCAUAGCUGUUUCCU